rfam:Hordeum vulgare subsp. vulgare, WGS project CAJW01000000 data, contig: morex_contig_1587762
GAACUACUCCCUCCGUCUCAAAAUUCUUGUCGUACGUUUGUCUAUAAAUAGAUGUAUCUAAAUAUCAAAAUAUGACUAGAUAUAUUAAUAUCUAGACAAAACUAAGACAAGAAUUUUAGAACGAAAGGAGUUUAUA